UUGUUCACAACAACACACUGAUACAUCCAUGUACAGUAUUCUGUCUUUUCCAGAUGCUAUUUAAAACACACAAAAUAAACUCGUUUUAAUUUCCCUCGGCCGUUAAACUAGUGACAAACGUCGUAGUUGCGUCGCGUCGUUAGGGCACAACGUGGUAGCCAACAAUUGUCACCGCGGCAACGUUAAGUUUAACGGGAGUCGUCACCUUGGCAACAGUAAACACAUUUAAAUGCAACACACGUAUGCACGUUGACUCACGUGUGUGUGACAGGUGAUAGCCAUGUUAUAGACAUGUAAUAACAGAUUCUACAUCUUAUGUGUAUUAGUGCCUGACUGAGUAGACGGCAGGUAGUCUAGUGGUUAAGAGCGUUGUCUUAGUCUUUAAUGACUGAGUAGAUGGCAGGUAGUCUAGUGGUUAAGAGCGCUGUCUUAGUCGUUAAUGACUGAGUAGACGGCAGGUAGUCUAGUGGUUAAGAGCGUUGUCUUAGUGGUUAAUGACUGAGUGGACGGCAGGUAGUCUAGUGGUUAAGAGCGUUGUCUUAGUGGUCAAUGACCGAGUAGACGGCAGGUAGUCUAGUGGUUAAGAGCGCUGUCUUGGUCGUUAAUGACCGAGUAGACGGCAGGUAGUCUAGUGGUUAAGAGCGUUGUCUUGGUCGUUAAUGACCGAGUAGACGGCAGGUAGUCUAGUGGUUAAGAGCGUUGUCUUAGUGGUUAAUGACUGAGUAGACGGCAGGUAGUCUAGUGGUUAAGAGCGCUGUCUUAGUCGUUAAUGACCGAGUAGACGGCAGGUAGUCUAGUGGUUAAGAGCGUUGUCUUAGUGGUUAAUGACCGAGUAGACGGCAGGUAGUCUAGUGGUUAAGAGCGUUGUCUUAGUGGUUAAUGACCGAGUAGACGGCAGGUAGUCUAGUGGUUAAGAGCGUUGUCUUAGUCGUUAAUGACCGAGUAGACGGCAGGUAGUCUAGUGGUUAAGAGUGUUGUCUUAGUCGUUAAUGACCGAGUAGACGGCAGGUAGUCUAGUGGUUAAGAGCGUUGUCUUAGUCGUUAAUGACUGAGUAGACGGCAGGUAGUCUAGUGGUUAAGAGCGUUGUCUUAGUGGUUAAUGACUGAGUAGACGGCAGGUAGUCUAGUGGUUAAGAGCGUUGUCUUAGUGGUCAAUGACCGAGUAGACGGCAGGUAGUCUAGUGGUUAAGAGCGCUGUCUUGGUCGUUAAUGACCGAGUAGACGGCAGGUAGUCUAGUGGUUAAGAGCGUUGUCUUGGUCGUUAAUGACCGAGUAGACUGCAGGUAGUCUAGUGGUUAAGAGCGUUGUCUUAGUGGUUAAUGACUGAGUAGACGGCAGGUAGUCUAGUGGUUAAGAGCGCUGUCUUGGUCGUUAAUGACCGAGUAGACGGCAGGUAGUCUAGUGGUUAAGAGCGUUGUCUUAGUGGUUAAUGACCGAGUAGACGGCAGGUAGUCUAGUGGUUAAGAGCGUUGUCUUAGUCGUUAAUGACCGAGUAGACGGCAGGUAGUCUAGUGGUUAAGAGUGUUGUCUUAGUGGUUAAUGACCGAGUAGACGGCAGGUAGUCUAGUGGUUAAGAGCGUUGUCUUAGUGGUUAAUGACUGAGUAGACGGCAGGUAGUCUAGUGGUUAAGAGCGUUGUCUUAGUGGUUAAUGACCGAGUAGACGGCAGGUAGUCUAGUGGUUAAGAGCGCUGUCUUAGUCGUUAAUGACCGAGUAGACGGCAGGUAGUCUAGUGGUUAAGAGCGUUGUCUUAGUGGUUAAUGACUGAGUAGACGGCAGGUAGUCUAGUGGUUAAGAGUGUUGUCUUAGUCGUUAAUGACCGAGUAGACGGCAGGUAGUCUAGUGGUUAAGAGCGUUGUCUUAGUGGUUAAUGACUGAGUAGACGGCAGGUAGUCUAGUGGUUAAGAGCGCUGUCUUAGUCGUUAAUGACCGAGUAGACGGCAGGUAGUCUAGUGGUUAAGAGCGUUGUCUUAGUGGUUAAUGACCGAGUAGACGGCAGGUAGUCUAGUGGUUAAGAGCGCUGUCUUGGUCGUUAA